UGGUUGUAAAGCACUUUAAGCAGUGAAGAAGACCUAACGGUUAAUACCCGUCAGCGAUGACAUUAGCUGCAGAAUAAGCACCGGCUAACUCUGUGCCAGCAGCCGCGGUAAUACAGAGGGUGCAAGCGUUAAUCGGAAUUACUGGGCGUAAAGCGAGCGUAGGUGGCUUGAUAAGUCAGAUGUGAAAUCCCCGGGCUUAACCUGGGAACUGCAUCUGAUACUGUUAAGCUAGAGUAGGUGAGAGGGAAGUAGAAUUCCAGGUGUAGCGGUGAAAUGCGUAGAGAUCUGGAGGAAUACCGAUGGCGAAGGCAGCUUCCUGGCAUCAUACUGACACUGAGGCUCGAAAGCGUGGGUAGCAAACAGGAUUAGAUACCCUGGUAGUCCACGCCGUAAACGAUGUCUACUAGUCGUUGGGUCCCUUGAGGACUUAGUGACGCAGCUAACGCAAUAAGUAGACCGCCUGGGGAGUACGGCCGCAAGGUUAAAACUCAAAUGAAUUGACGGGGGCCCGCACAAGCGGUGGAGCAUGUGGUUUAAUUCGAUGCAACGCGAAGAACCUUACCUGGUCUUGACAUACACAGAAUCUUGUAGAGAUACGAG
rnacentral:rRNA from 1 species